rnacentral:rRNA from 1 species
GGUGANUAACACGUGGGUAACCUGCCCAUAAGAGGGGGAUAACAUCCGGAAACGGGUGCUAAUACCGCAUAGUUUUCUUGAUCGCAUGAUUGAGAAAGGAAAGAUGGCCUUUGUGCUGUCGCUUAUGGAUGGACCCGCGGCGUAUUAGUUAGUUGGUGAGGUAACGGCUCACCAAGACGAUGAUACGUAGCCGACCUGAGAGGGUGAUCGGCCACAUUGGGACUGAGACACGGCCCAAACUCCUACGGGAGGCAGCAGUAGGGAAUCUUCCGCAAUGGACGAAAGUCUGACGGAGCAACGCCGCGUGAGUGAAGAAGGUUUUCGGAUCGUAAAACUCUGUUGUCAGAGAAGAACAAGUUGGAGAGUAACUGCUCCAGCCUUGACGGUAUCUGACCAGAAAGCCACGGCUAACUACGUGCCAGCAGCCGCGGUAAUACGUAGGUGGCAAGCGUUGUCCGGAUUUAUUGGGCGUAAAGCGAGCGCAGGCGGUUCCUUAAGUCUGAUGUGAAAGCCCACGGCUCAACCGUGGAAGGUCAUUGGAAACUGGGGAACUUGAGUGCAGAAGANGAGAGUGGAAUUCCAUGUGUAGCGGUGAAAUGCGUANAUAUAUGGAGGAACACCAGUGGCGANNGCGACUCUCUGGUCUGUAACUGACGCUGAGGCUCGAAAGCGUGGGGAGCAAACAGGANUAGAUACNCUGGUAGUCCANNCC